rnacentral:rRNA from 1 species
GACGAACGCUGGCGGCGUGCUUAACACAUGCAAGUCUACGAGAACGAGGUAGCAAUAUCUUUAGUAAAGUGGCGCACGGGUGCGUAACACGUAAGCAAUCUACCUUUGGGUCUGGAAUAACUUCGAGAAAUCGAGGCUAAUACCGGAUAAUGCAGCGGCAUCGCAUGGUGAUGUUGUUAAAGUUUAUGUAAUGCCUAAAGAUGAGCUUGCGUCUGAUUAGCUAGUUGGUGAGGUAACGGCCCACCAAGGCUACGAUCAGUAGCUGGUCUGAGAGGAUGACCAGCCACACUGGAACUGAGACACGGUCCAGACUCCUACGGGAGGCAGCAGUGAGGAAUAUUGGGCAAUGCCCGCAAGGGUGACCCAGCAACGCCGCGUGGAGGAUGAAGGUCGUAAGAUCGUAAACUCCUGUUAGAGGGGAAGAACAGUACCGAUUGGAUCGGUGUUUGACUGUACCCUCAGAGAAAGCCCCGGCUAACUACGUGCCAGCCGCCGCGGUAAAAC